rnacentral:lncRNA from 1 species
CCGGACCCGUCCCUCCCCGCGUCACCCCGGGGACCCCGGCCCCCAGCCCCGGUGCCCGGCUUCCCUGCCCGUGCCCUUCCCGGCUGAGCUUUUCUCCUUGGCCGCAAAGCCAGGAGCAGGGUUAUUUCGUCACUAUUGCUCCACUGACCAUUUGUCCAAUACUUCUGCACACCCGGAGCGCCCCAGUAGAGACUCCGGGAAAGAGACAGUGCUGGAAGCAGAGGACGUCAGAGUCCGAGAUGAGCGGUGGGGAGGUCGGCUUGAGUCCCCUGACCCCUACUCUCAGGCUGUCCCGGAGCUUUUAAAGACUGAAAUCCAUCAUCAUUACAUUUUAAAGAAACUGGCAUCCUACACAACCCGAGUUCAAAGUUGUCAUGGGGAUACUGCAACUUACAACACAUCACAAAGGUUUAUUCUUCUCCGCCCUAAAAGCCACUAUUGACUACGGUAAUCAGUAAAAUGCUCAGGUCUUCAAGGACACUGAAGUUAAACAAGGUAUUUGUCUUUGUUGUUGACUUUAAAAUGUUACCUAUCAGAGCCCCUCUGGAUAGAGGAGUGGGGCAUUCCCUGGAAAACCCAGUCCUAUGACUGGGAACAAUAAGAAUCCUAUUAGAAGACAGUGUGAACUCCCCAGGUAGAACUAUUUAGUCAUCUGAAAACCCAAAGACAAAAUUUAAUUAAAAGUCCACUUUGGAUAAAUACAACCUAGGAAGCUUGCUUAUUUUUAGUUGAAUAAAAUCUCUCUCAUUCCCUCCCUACCUCUUUCCCAAACCCACCAGGCAGCUAUAAUCCUGUAAGUGACUAAAAAGGAAAAAAAAAUGCUGUCUUUAUAAAAGCUGUAAGAUAUAAAAGCUGGGGGCUUGCUCACCAAGUUCCCCCUUUUCAACUCACCAUUUCUCUCCUAACAUGGCUGUUUGCGGUGCCCUUGGGGAGUGAUAGAUUCAGGGGAGAAGGGCACCACCACCUGUCUUUCUGUGUGUGGUACCAAGACACAGGGACUCACAGUUCUGCAGGCGCUUAGGAGGGUGUAGGACCCAGGAAAUAAAGGAGUGUGAGGACUCUGAGCUCACCCCAAAGUAAGCUCACCCCAUCUACCCAGUCAGCGAGAGGUGCAUAGUGUGGGUUUCCAGAAGCCUCCAAAUUGUGCGGGUUGAUCAAGUUCAGCACUCAGGUUUUAGCUCUGGUGUUUAAAGUGUCUGCCUCCAAAAACGGUUUGUUUAAAAAAAAAAAAAAAUCUAAGAAACAGGAAAUCUAGCUAGGAAGCUGGCCUCAGAAUACCUGUGAGGACAAGCAAAGUUAGGGUCACUCGCUCCCCACCCUUCACCCCAAUACUGGCUUGGUCCCAGUCACUUCCUGAUUUCCUAACAGACUCUAUGCAAAAGCUGGGUGUUCCCAAAUCCCUUCCCAUUUUUUUAAACAUACUUAAAAAAAUACUUAAAAAAAUAACAAAUCUUCUGGGUCUACAGAAAAUUCCUCUAACUGUGGUGUGCCCAGAAGAUGAAAAAAUUAGGAAAAGUGUAGGCUAAAUUUAAAACAAAAAGAAACAUAUUAACUUGCCCACAACUGCCCCAUACUGCCUCUAAAAGGAUUUCUCAUACAGGACCAGUUACUGUAAACAUCAAAAGACUCUCUCAGCCAUAUGAAAUGCUGGAAGAUUGGAGGAAAGGAACCUGGAGAUCAGGCUAAGGUGUGUCAAGAAAUAGGCAGAGCUGCAGGCGCUGGCUCAAUCUGCAGAUACUACCCCUCACCCAACUCACAACACCCUUGCACAUUCCCUACGGAACUCCCCGACUGACAAAAUAAGCUUCACACCCAACCAUUACCUCCUUAGAGAUUCCCAGCCUCUCCAUCUCUCUGCUCCUGGGAGCCAAACACGGGUCCCUAUGCAGAGGUAAGGAUGAGAGCCCUGACUCUCAAGUCCCAAGCCAACAGUGCAAAUCUCAACAGGGUCCCCCGAUCCCAUUCCACACACAGGGGAAAAAUGGUCUCCAGGGCCAGCUUUGCAGCAGAAGCAAAAAGAGGGAAUUUCGCUGGGCGCGGUGGCUCACGCCUAUAAUCCCAGUACUUUGGGAGGCUGAGGCGAAUGGAUCGCCUGAAGUCAAGAGUUCAAAAACAGCCUGACCAACGUGGCAAAAACUACUAAAAAUACAAAAAUUAGCUAGGUGUGGCGGCGCGCGCCUGUAAUCCCAGCUACACGGGAGGCUGAGGCAGGAGAAUCGCUUGAACCCGGGAGACAGAGAUUACAGUGAGCCACUGCACUCCAGACUGGGCGACAGAGCAAAACUAAAAAGAGGGAAUUUUGAGACCAAGUCUUGCAGCGCUUGGAAGAAGACAGAAAGAACUCAGGCUAUCAGAGAGCUGUUCAAAUUGGUUCCCUCUCUUUCAGACCACUUGCAUUUCCAGCGUGUCUUUUGCGGACAAGGUUGGGAAUGUCCCAUUUUAUCCUAAGGAAUCCUGGCCCCUAGGACUGACUUGCUGUCCUAAAGGUAGCGUCGAGGCUCCCACGAGAAGCACAGACCUGGGAUACACAAGACACCGGGGUAGGACUGUUUGGAGUAAUGUGCCUUCCUCCACUCUGCCACCUCUGUGACUCAAGGGGCCUCCCCCACACCUCCCCUCAAACAAACUACAAUAAAAAAAGAUGUUGUUUCCUUAGAAAGAUUAUCAAACAGGUGAAAUAUAAGGUAAGAUAAGCCAGUUGAAAGCACCAAGGACGCAGAAUGUUGCAUCUGAGAAAAACAGCCUAACAGGGCUCCCACACUCCUGUGCUGGAGUAAACAAAACACUUUUCAAAACGAGGUAUUUCCAGGUAUUUUUGACAAUAGCGUUUUCACGGUUUACCCCCUAAUGGCUCCCAGAUACAGGAAAAAAUGAGUCAAAUUGGAAACUGAAAAAUUGGCGGGCUAAACUUCGAAGGGAGAAUAGGUGCCCCAGCUCCAGGAUCCCUGAGUUGCAGCCUGGCCAUGUGAGCAGCAGCCCCAGACCAAGGCCCAGCUGAUGCCAAGCCCAAGGGCCUAUCCACCAGCUCUCCUUCACCAUGAAGUCACAAGUCUGACCACUCCAGGUGCCCUCUCUUCUUUCCCUCUCUCCCUUGUGGGAGAGGAGACGCCAACUAGCUUCCCUAGGAACAUCUAGGUUCUUCUGUUGUGCUCUUCUAAAUACCCUUCUCUAGGAAAACACAAACACGCACCCUUUGGAGAGUUAAACUGGGUGAGCCUGCAUGUGCUUGUGUGUCUGUUUGGGGGUGGAUCAAGUGCCCGCCACUCUCCCAAACUUACUCCCAUCGUGGAAUUUCUUCCACUCACCCAAAGUAGGGUCUGCGAUGGGGCUCAAGCGCUGUUAGUUCCCUCCCAGCCUCGUUUUUCCCCAAUAGCAGAUGCCAUUCACUACUCAUCAAGGCCCUGAGCUUCCCCAAGGCACGAAGGUACAGAUGUGCAUUUAGUCUCAUCCGUGGAAAGGAACUUGGCACAACAGACUCAAGUCUUGGCACAACUCGCCUCAGCGCUACCGGACUCUGGGUUACCCAGCCACAGGCCUGCAAAUCCUUCCUGGGACCAGGCCGACCUCCGCGCACCCGGACGAGAAAGUCCUGAAAACAGGGCCCGAGUGGAGCAGCUGCUCCACGUCCCCCGUGCGCCCCAGCGCUUUGGACCCGCACCCCGAACCUGAGGCGCGACCCUUACCUGCACUGGGACCCCGGGGCACCGGGAGCGGGGCUCC